UAAUCUGUUUAUUCAGUUUCAUUUUGACUGAUUUAAUGUCAGUUAACACUAAACAUGAUUUGGUUUUUAUACGAACAUCAGAUAUUAAAGACUUUCUCCAAUAUAACUGGUAGUAUUGAUGAAAGGACUUUUAUAGCAGAUUCACAAAGACUAUCCGUGGACUUGACACUACAAUCUGAGAACAGUUGAUCUAACCAAUGCAGCUAAAUGCAACGAAGCUUUGGACAGUUGGACAGGGCUGCUAAAGUUUAUAAGGAAAUCAAAAAGAGCAAAGACAUCGAGGAUAAUAUCCGAAAACAACUUGCAGAGAAAAUUUGUAGCAGUAACCCAGAUGUGAAAAAAAAUGGCACAAUCUUCAACAGGGGGUGUCGGCAGGAUGUCUGACACCUCGGGUUAUACGGGUGUUCAUACAGAACGAUUUGACGAAUCUGGAAAAGGAAAGGGCGCAGCAGGACGAGAAGACAGGUUAUACCGGCCAAUAUAAAGGAUCUGGUAGUUACGGAAAAAAAUAAUUGCGAACACUCAAGGAGAAAUGACGUCAUAGGCAAUGAUGUUGCUUUGUGUGAUUUGUUAUAUUUAUAUUUAUAUGCAAUACGUAGAACCAUUGCAAUAUUUCUCUGACUGUAGACAUAUUUUGACUGUUCAAUAAAAUAUAUAUAACUGUUAA